GUGAUGUCCUGGGCAGUUUAUAACUGCAAAUGUUUAUGGCUGCAGGCAGAGGAGUUAUACCAAGCCGUGAUGCUUUCCUAUGGUGUAUCAAUAAAAAUUGGUAAAGGGGAUAUGUCAAAGUUCUUAAAGCCUUGGGGUUUAUUUGAAGGACAAGUAGAGAAUGUUUAUUUGUUCACCUGUGUACUUAAUAGAGAAGGUGGAUAAAUUUCUGCUUUACGACAAUUUUUACUCAAUUGAAUUCUUAGGCAAGAAAGUUAAUUGCAUGUGAUUUUCACUGCCUGCAUUUUUAAAAAGCAUUCAUUUGUAUUUUUCAACGGCCUGUCUACAUAGUCUCCACAGACUAUUUCUCCAAGACCUGAUAGUGCCAUUGGUGAAAGUUCUGCAUUGUCAUUCUGUCAAUAGCUAGAUUAGUUUCACUGAGUUCCUAGCUGCUGCAGAGAUAGUACAUUUGGUGGGUGCUCAUCUAUAUCCUGCUGUGACAUUAACCUGUUUUUACAGGUGUUUAUCCCUUGGGAUUAAGGAGAAAGAUCAGAAAAAUUAUCCCUGAGAGAUGGAAGGGAAUCCCAGGGUAUCCUGGCAGAAGUGGGUAAAGAAGCACCUCCGAUUAUAUUGACUGCUCUAUUGUGACUAGGGCCAAGUGAGUGUCCACAAAUAGUAACCUGCCAGGAGAUGAAGACUCAAGAUCAGGUGACAGUUUUGGAUGCAACACAACACUGGCAGGAUAAUUCUACGAUGCUAUCGGUGGCCUAAAGCCGUGUGAAGAGCCAUUGAGAUUGCGUCUGCCAUUGACCUAUUGUGACGACAGGCAAAUUGCAAUGGGUCCAGAUCCUUGCUGAGGCAGGAGUUCAGUAAAGUCAUCACCAACCUCUCAAAGCAUUUCAUCACUGUCGAUGUGAGUGCUACCGGGCGAUAGUCAUUAAGGCAGCUCACAUUAUUCUUCUCGGAGUAUGUUGCAGAAAGUUGUAAAAUUAGUCAGCUCCAUCAUGGGUACUAGCCUCCAUAUUAUCCAAGAGAUCUUCAAGGAGCAGUGCCUCAGAAAGGUGACGUCCAUCAUUAAGGACCCCCGUCACCCAGGACAUGAUGUCCUCUUCUCAUUGUUACUGUCAGGAAGGAGGUUCAGGGGCCUGAAGGUACACACACAACAAUUCAAGGAAAAGCUUCUUCCCCUCUGCCAUCUGAUUUCUGGGUGGAUAUUGAACCCAUGAACAGUACCCCACUACUUUUUAAAAAUUUAUUUCUGCUUUUUGCACUAUUUUAAUUUAACUAUUUAAUAUAGAUAUAUACUGUAAUUCUUUUCUUUCCUAUAUUUAUCAUGAAUUGCUUUGUACUGCUGUGAAAAGUAACAAAUUUCACGACAUGCUGGUGAUAUUAGACCUGAUUCUGAAGGCCAGUGUCCCAUUAUCUGCACUGGGUGCCUGUGCUGAUUUUGUUCAUUUACAGUCAAUCAAAAGAACACAGCAGGGUACACUGGAUGAAUUCCUCAUUAGGAACCAAUACAGUUUUGUAGUACUGAAGUAGUAUUGGUCAUGUUCUCGUUUGUUCUGCAUUUUAUUUCAAUACAUAAUUUGUUAUUCAAUUAAAUGGUUGCUUAUCUUCUUUCUUAUACUUGACUAGUCAUUUCUAUGAAACUUUGGCUAAUUGGGGCAGCUGCUGAAUGGGCCAAUGUGUCCCAAUUAACUGGAAUCCACUCUAUAGGAUAAAUGAUUCUUUCCCCCUUAGAUCAGCAAAGAUGGGUUAC